AAUAAGGACUAAAGUGGCCAGUUUAGAAAGAAAAUAAGCUGCUCGACGAUAUGGUCAUGGAUGGGCUCAUUAAUGUUGGCUUAAUAUUAUGUCGGAACUUACUAUAAUUAUUGACAGAAGGUAUUGCUGAUUCUUCACAAGAAGUCAUGAUGAGAUACGGGUCGAAACGCUACCGGUCGAAACGGUACGGGUCGACGAAACGGUUCCAUUAUUGUUCGAGUCAAUAAUUGCAGAUUAAUGACAUUAACUAGUCAAUAAUGACAGACUAAGGUACGGGUCGAACGGUACGGGUCGAAACGGUUCGAUUCGAAAUGGUACGGGUCGAAAUGGUUCGCGUCGAAACGGUAUGCGCCGAACCGGUUCGCGUCGAAACGGUACGCGUCGAAACGGUAUUCUAUAUAAAUUACUUACUUUUCAAUUCAUUAGGUCCAUUUAGUCACUACUAAACAAGAAUUUGUCUGAUACACGCAGAUGGUCAACGAAGAAAUAAGUCAAUCAAUUCUUGUUAGUGGAGAAAGUGGAGCUGUUACAUUGUUGUGAAUUUUUUCAUAAACGGUUAAAACUGAGUGACAUAAUUAAAUGAAAUUUCCUCAAAAAAUUUUACCAAAAAAUUUAAUAGAAACCCAAUCUCAUAACUGUUCAUUCAAAUAACUACUCAUCAAAAAACGAAACAAUGCUGAAAGUCUGUCUUUAUUUCACAAAUAUUCUAUUUUGCAGUCUAAUCCAGUUCUAGAAGCAUUUGGUAAUGCAAAGACAGUUAGAAACAAUAACUCAAGGAGUCUGAAAAGUACAAAGUUGGAAAUCCAAGAAAGUUUCAUUACCUUAAUCAAUCAAACUUUUAUGAACUGAACGGAGUUGACGAGUCUAAAGAGUAUCAUGCUACAAAGAAAGCUAUGGAUGUUGUUGGAAUCAGCUCUGAUGAACAGGAGGCUAUAUUCCGUGUUGUUGCUGCAAUUCUUCACUUAGGCAACCGUUGGACUUCAGCAAUAAGCUAAACACAUUGUGGAAAGUGAGGUCUAGUUCUCUGCAGGUGUAGCAACAUGAAAUCACCAGCAGUAAGAUAAUGGGGUCUUUGCUCUCAUGUGACCAUCAAGACAAAAUUCAUAGCUUUUGUUGUGGCAAUUCAGAUGUUUAAUACUUGAGUCUGAGUGCAAAUUUGCAUCAUGAGUUCGACUAUUAGCUACUAUGGUUACUAUUAUUGAAAAGUUGAACUUAGUUAUCAAGGAGCUCGUUAAGGAAAAUGAUGAAGAAAAAGAAAGGCUAAAUGGAAUUAUUGCCGGGUUGUUGGCU